rnacentral:rRNA from 1 species
AAUCAACGCUGGCGGCGUGCCUCAGACAUGCAAGUCGAACGCGAAAGUCCCCUUCGGGGGAUGAGUAGAGUGGCGUCCGGGUGAGUAACACGUAGGUAAUCUACCUUUGGGUGGGGAAUAACCCCGAGAAAUCGGGGCUAAUACCGCAUAAUGCAGCGGCACCACAUGGUGACAGUUGUUAAAGCGGGGGAUCGCAAGACCUCGCGCCUAAAGAGGAGCCUGCGGCGGAUUAGCUAGNGGUAGGGUAACGGCCUACCAAGGCAACGAUCCGUAGCCGGCCUGAGAGGGCGGUCGGCCACACUGACACUGAAAUACGGGUCAGACUCCUACGGGAGGCAGCAGUCGGGAAUUUUGGGCAAUGGGCGAAAGCCUGACCCAGCAACGCCGCGUGAAGGAUGAAAUCCCUCGGGAUGUAAACUUCGCAAGAACAGGAAGAAUAAAGUA